rnacentral:rRNA from 1 species
AGUCGAGCGGCAUCGAGUGAGCGCAGUUUACUGAGUUCAUGUCGGCGAGCGGCGGACGGGUGAGUAAAGUCUGGGAAUCUGGCCGAAGGAGGGGGAUAACUGCUGGAAACGGCAGCUAAUACCGCAUGAAGUCGCGAGACCAAAGUGGGGGACCUUCGGGCCUCACGCCUUCGGAUGAGCCCAGAUGAGAUUAGCUGGUAGGUAAGGUAAAGGCUUACCUAGGCGACGAUCUCUAGCGGGUCUGAGAGGAUAGCCCGCCACACUGGAACUGAGACACGGUCCAGACUCCUACGGGAGGCAGCAGUGGGGAAUAUUGCACAAUGGGCGAAAGCCUGAUGCAGCCAUGCCACGUGUGUGAAGAAGGCCUUCGGGUUGUAAAGCACUUUCAGCGAGGAGGAAGCGAUAAAUGCGAAUACCAUU